GCUCAUGGGGAGUUAUGUUCUGUAGUAAGGUUUGAGUGCUCGGUUAAAGACUGUAAAAUGUUACCAAUAAAAUGCAAAAUGGGCAAAGACUUGAAAAGAUUGAGGAAGCUCCAGCCAUUCAGACUUUGGGAGGUGAAACCAUCACCUGCUGCUGCUGCUGCUGCCGCUGCUGCCUCUGCCACCACCACUUUCUUAGCCAGGGCAUCACCACCGCCCCAGAUUGAGCCAGGCUGGGGCUGCUCUUGGGUUUCUGUCAGCUAAUAACAUACCGUUUUUGUUAUUCAGUUUAGAUGCCGGUGUUCUUGCUGAGGGCCAGCUCCCAGCUGUGCCCUUCCCCGACCUUCCCUUUCUAUCUGUCUGUCCUCUGUAGCCUCUCAUCCCAGCUCUCAUCAUUCCACCAAACAAAGUCUCAGAAACGAAAGCCCUGGCUGGAUUCCAGUUCCCUCUCCUGAGCUCUUCCGUACUCUUUAUACAUACAUCCAUACAUACAUACAUACAUACAGAUACACACAGAGAUACACAUACAGACACACAUACAUAGACACAUACAAACACAGAGAUACAGACACACAGACACAUGCAUAUACAUACAUACACACACAGAGAGACACAGACACACACAACGAUACACAUACACACAGAAGAAACAUAUACAUACAUACAUAGAUACAUACAGACACAAAACACACACAGGCACACACACACAGAGAGACACAGAGACACAGACACACACAAAGAUACACAUGCACACAGAGACAUAUACAUACAUAGAUACAUACAGACACAAAGACACACACAGGCACAGACACAUACAUACAUACAUAGACACAGACACACAUGCAAACAUAGACACAUCACAGAUACAGAUACACACACACAGAGACACAGACAUACACACACCAUCACCACCUCAUCUUCCUCCUCCUCCUCUUCUUCCUCCUCCUCUUUCUCCUCCUCUUGGUUGCCCCCUGCCCCCCAGUACUAGUGUACAGGGGUGCCACCAUGUUUGACUUUUCCUUAAUGUAGUGUGCUGGAGACUAGGAGUCAGGUCCCCACGGUUACCUCACAAGAACUUUACUGAGUCAUCUCCUCCAUCUUCCAUUUUUUAUUUUAUUUUAUUUUAUUUUUGGCUUUCAGAGACAGUGUCUCACUAUGUAGCUUUUCCUGGCCUGAGACUUCUCCACAGACCAGACUUGCCUCAAAUUUGGAGCAGUUGUCCUGCCUCGGUCUUAGCCUCCCACCACACCUGGUCUCCAGCCGUGAUGACAGGGCUGAUGAGGAACCAACGAGGGUCCUCGCGGAAGCCUAGGGAAACAUCAGAAAUUGAAGUAUAGCACAUCACUGUGGAAUGAUAGGAAACUGAGCCGGUGGGGUAGGACCAGCUAUCCUACAUCAGAGACCAGGGUCCUGCCUCUACUGGACACAGACCUAAGUGCCCGGCAUGGAAA
rnacentral:lncRNA from 1 species